rnacentral:rRNA from 1 species
ACACAUGCAAGUCGAGGGGCAGCAUGGUCUUAGCUUGCUAAGGCCGAUGGCGACCGGCGCACGGGUGAGUAACGCGUAUCCAACCUGCCUUACACUCUUGGACAGCCUUCUGAAAGGGAGAUUAAUACAAGAUGUUAUCAUGAGUAAGCAUUUUCGCAUGAUUAAAGGUUUACCGGUGUAAGAUGGGGAUGCGUUCCAUUAGAUAGUAGGCGGGGUAACGGCCCACCUAGUCUUCGAUGGAUAGGGGUUCUGAGAGGAAGGUCCCCCACAUUGGAACUGAGACACGGUCCAAACUCCUACGGGAGGCAGCAGUGAGGAAUAUUGGUCAAUGGACGAGAGUCUGAACCAGCCAAGUAGCGUGAAGGAUGAAGGUUCUAUGGAUUGUAAACUUCUUUUAUACGGGAAUAAACGGAUCCACGUGUGGAUUUUUGCAUGUACCGUAUGAAUAAGAAUCGGCUAACUCCGUGCCAGCAGCCGCGGUAAUACGGAGGAUCCGAGCGUUAUCCGGAUUUAUUGGGUUUAAAGGGAGCGUAGAUGGGUUGUUAAGUCAGUUGUGAAAGUUUGCGGCUCAACCGUAAAAUUGCAAUUGAUACUGGCAGUCUUGAGUACAGUUGAGGUAGGCGGAAUUCGUGGUGUAGCGGUGAAAUGCUUAGAUAUCACGAAGAACUCCGAUUGCGAAGGCAGCUUACUAACCUGUAACUGACAUUGAUGCUCGAAAGUGUGGGUAUCAAACAGGAUUAGAUACCCUGGUAGUCCACACGGUAAACGAUGAAUACUCGCUGUAGGCGAUAUACGGUCUGCGGCCAAGCGAAA